CUGCACAUGGCAGCUCCCCUUCACUUUCUACCAUGGGUGAAGCACUCUGAGGCUUCCACCAGAUGCCCAAUCUUCUAGCCGGCAGAAUCGUGAGCCAAGAGUACCAUUGCUAUACCACAUUCUCACUUGAUCCCCUUUGGAUGAAAUGAAAGAAACAGCUGGUUUGACUGAGUAGUAUCCUGAGAAGAAGAGGAAGCAACCAGAGUUCUCCCUCUGCCAUGUGAGAAGACAGUAGAAUGUGGCUGUCUGUAGCCAGAAAGAGAGACUUAUCGAGAACUAAAUUGGCUGGCACCUUAUUCUUGGACUUCCCAGCCUUCAGAUCUGUGAGAAAUAAACAUCUGUUGUUGAAGUCACCCAGUCUAUGGUGUUUCGUUAUAGUAACUGGAGAAGUCUAAGAGAAUACAGCAAAAUGGUUUGAAUAUGUUUUAAUUCUACAAUUAAAAUGUUGGAAGAAAAGAAGUGUGGUAUAAUUCACAUUUAAAAAAUUAUAUUCAAUUUAUUUUUUGGAAAGUAUAUUUAUGUUUAUCUUUCAGACUCUGGUAAUGACUGCCAGGUCUCAGUCUUCAGUUUGAAGUUCUCACUGAGCUUCACACCUUUGUCCCUGUCUGUUGUAUUUACUUCUUUGGAUAAAACGUCCCCAUUAUGUAUGGUAGGUUAAGAAAAAAAAAAUCCCUUCUUCAUUUCUUUUCACAGGCAUUACUGUCCACCAGCCAUCUAGGCUUGAGAACUUGGAGACCUCCAUGGAAAAGUCUUGCUCCCUAAACUUCUUUACUAAACAUCCAAGAUCCCCUCUUUUCUAUAUGCCUAAAUUAUAAAAUUUCUAGCACAGAACUUUUUAUUUAUAAACAAUUCUACAUUUUAAGCAUUUAUUCAUAUGUGUCUUAUUUGUUUCUUUAAUUUAUUAUAAAUUUGAUGGCAUGGAACCCAAAUUUGUCUUCUAUAUCUCUCCUAACAUUUAACAUAGAGCUAGGUAACUAAUGAUGCUUAGCUAAUUCUUUUCUAUGAUUAUGACUG
rnacentral:lncRNA from 1 species